rnacentral:rRNA from 1 species
AACGAACGCUGGCGGCAGGCUUAACACAUGCAAGUCGAGCGCCCCGCGAGGGGAGCGGCAGACGGGUGAGUAACGCGUGGGAACGUACCCUUUGCUACGGAAUAGCUCCGGGAAACUGGAAUUAAUACCGUAUGUGCCCUACGGGGGAAAGAUUUAUCGGCAAAGGAUCGGCCCGCGUUGGAUUAGCUAGUUGGUGGGGUAAUGGCCUACCAAGGCGACGAUCCAUAGCUGGUCUGAGAGGAUGAUCAGCCACAUUGGGACUGAGACACGGCCCAAACUCCUACGGGAGGCAGCAGUGGGGAAUAUUGGACAAUGGGCGAAAGCCUGAUGCAGCGACGCCGCGUGGACGAUGAAGGCCUUCGGGUUGUAAAGUCCUUUUGCUCGGGAACAAUUUUUGAGCGUACCGAGAGAAUAAGAGGUUGCUAACUCUGUGCCAGCCGCCGCCGUAAAAC